rnacentral:rRNA from 1 species
UAGAGGAAGUAAAAGUCGUAACAAGGUUUCCGUAGGUGAACCUGCGGAAGGAUCAUUAUUGAAAUAAAACUGAURGGUUGUUGCUGGCUCUCUGCGGAGCAUGUGCACGCUUGUCAUCUUUAUAUCUCCACCUGUGCAUCUUGUGUAGACCUGGAUAUCUUUCUAAAUGCUUUAGGCAUUCAGGUGUUGAGGAUUGACCUUGCGGUCUGUCCUUACAUUUCCAGGCCUAUGUUUCUUCAUAUACCCCAAUGUAUGUUUUAGAAUGUAUUUAAUGGGCUUUUAUGCCUAUAAACCUUAUACAACUUUCAGCAACGGAUCUCUUGGCUCUCGCAUCGAUGAAGAACGCAGCGAAAUGCGAUAAGUAAUGUGAAUUGCAGAAUUCAGUGAAUCAUCGAAUCUUUGAAUGCACCUUGCGCUCCUUGGUAUUCCGAGGAGCAUGCCUGUUUGAGUGUCAUUAAUAUAUCAAUCUCUUCAGCUUUUGUUGUUGAGUAUUGGAAGUGGGGGGGGUUUUUCUUUGCUGGUCUCUCUUCUGAGGUCCGCUCCCCUGAAAUGUAUUAGCGGAACAAUUUGUUAACCGUUCAUUGGUGUGAUAACUAUCUACGCUAUUGGAAGGGGAGCAGUUUAGCUUCUAAUAGUCCAUUGACUUGGACAGAUAACCUUAUUAAUGUGACCUCAAAUCAGGUAGGACUACCCGCUGAACUUAAGCAUAUCAAUA